rnacentral:rRNA from 1 species
GACGAACGCUGGCGGCGUGCUUAACGCAUGCAAGUCGAACGGUGAACCCUCUUCGGAGGGGGAUCAGUGGCGAACGGGUGAGUAACACGUGAGCAACCUGCCCUUAGCUCUGGGAUAACCCCGGGAAACCGGGGCUAAUACCGGAUACGAGACCGCGCGGCAUCACGCGGUCUGGAAAGUUUUUCGGCUAAGGAUGGGCUCGCGGCCUAUCAGCUUGUUGGUGGGGUAACGGCCUACCAAGGCGACGACGGGUAGCCGGCCUGAGAGGGCGACCGGCCACACUGGGACUGAGACACGGCCCAGACUCCUACGGGAGGCAGCAGUGGGGAAUCUUGCGCAAUGGGCGAAAGCCUGACGCAGCGACGCCGCGUGAGGGAUGAAGGCCUUCGGGUUGUAAACCUCUUUCAGCAGGGAAGAAGCGAAAGUGACGGUACCUGCAGAAGAAGCACCGGCUAACUACGUGCCAGCCGCCGCCGUAAAAC